GGAAUUUUCCGCAAUGGGCGAAAGUCUGACGGAGCGACGCUGCGUGAAGGAUGACGGCCUGCGGGUUGUAAACUUCUUUUCUCGAAGAAGAAGCUCUGACGGUAUUCGAGGAAUAAGCAUCGGCUAACUCCGUGCCAGCAGCCGCGGUAAUACGGAGGAUGCAAGUGUUAUUCGGAAUGAUUGGGCGUAAAGCGUCUGUAGGCUGUAUAGAAAGUCUUUUGUUAAAUGCCUCGGCUCAACCGAGAUCCAGCAAAGGAAACUUCUAUACUUGAGGGAAGUAGAGGUACAGGGAAUUCCCGGUGGAGCGGUGAAAUGCGUAGAUAUCGGGAGGAACACCAAUAUGGCGAAGGCACUGUACUGGGCUUUACCUGACGCUCAGAGACGAAAGCUAAAGGAGUGAUUAGGAUUAGAUACCCCAGUAGUC
rnacentral:rRNA from 1 species